GACGUAGGCCCCUGGGCCGUGUGGAGAAGGUCCCAGCAGUGUCACCAGACCAAAGGAGGGCCAACCAUGGGAACCAAGAGUCUGUUCUGGAAAUCAUUUUUAGUUGUAUUUAAUUUUUUUUUUCCAAUUACAAUAUUCUUCCAAAACUCAGCGUGUAAGCGAGGAUGAUCUUUCAAUCCUUAAUGUUGUUUUUCCAUCGUCCAGCUGGAGUUGAGGUAAUAACUGUGAUUUUCACCAAGAAACAGAAGCUACAUUUCUUUCUUUCUUUCUUUUUUUUUUUUUUUUGGUUUAAAUGAAUUUUUUUUUGUA